rnacentral:rRNA from 1 species
AAUGAACGCUGGCGGCAUGCCUUACACAUGCAAGUCGAACGGCAGCAUGACCUAGCUUGCUAGGUUGAUGGCGAGUGGCGAACGGGUGAGUAAUGCAUCGGAACGUGCCUUUUAGUGGGGGAUAACGUAGCGAAAGUUACGCUAAUACCGCAUAUUCUCUGAGGAGGAAAGCAGGGGACCUUCUGGCCUUGCGCUAGAAGAGCGGCCGAUGUCGGAUUAGCUAGUUGGUGAGGUAAAGGCUCACCAAGGCAACGAUCCGUAGCGGGUCUGAGAGGAUGAUCCGCCACACUGGGACUGAGACACGGCCCAGACUCCUACGGGAGGCAGCAGUGGGGAAUUUUGGACAAUGGGCGCAAGCCUGAUCCAGCCAUGCCGCGUGAGUGAAGAAGGCCUUCGGGUUGUAAAGCUCUUUCGGCUGGGAAGAAAUCGCACCCUCUAAUACAGGGUGUGGAUGACGGUACCAGCAGAAGAAGCACCGGCUAACUACGUG